CUACGGGCUGCUCCAGUGGGGAAUAUUGGACAAUGGGCGAUAGCCUGAUCCAGCAAUACCGCGUGAAUGAUGAAGGCCUUAGGGUUGUAAAGUUCUUUUAGUUGGAAAGAUAAUGACGGUACCAACAGAAAAAGCCCCGGCUAACUCCGUGCCAGCAGCCGCGGUAAGACGGAGGGGGCUAGCGUUGUUCGGAAUUACUGGGCGUAAAGGGCGCGUAGGCGGAUUAGUAAGUUGGGAGUGAAAGCCCGGGGCUUAACCUCGGAACUGCUUUCAAAACUGCUAGUCUUGAGUGAAGUAGGGGAUGAUGGAAUUCCUAGUGUAGAGGUGAAAUUCUUAGAUAUUAGGAGGAACACCGGUGGCGAAGGCGGUCAUCUGGACUUCAGCUGACGCUGAGGCGCGAAAGCGUGGGGAGCAAACAGGAUUAGAUACCCCUGUAGUC
rnacentral:rRNA from 1 species